UAUGUAGCCAGUUCACCUUGUUUCUGUCUUUUCCCCAUGUCUCCCUGUUUUCCCUACAUGUCCCACACUGGCCUGCUCCCGCUAACUAAGGGGGCGUGGUGAUUAGUUACACACCGGAGUUCGUUCGCACUGAUUACUGGCCGGACAGUAUAAAACCACCCAGGUACGAAGAAGCGUUGUAAGCUCUGCCUGUUUAACCCCCUAGCGUGUCGGAUUUAGUCAUCAGCUUCGUGGUCACCGGCUAGUCUGCUCCUGCUGCCCGUGUGUUAGACACCAUCCCUUAUUCAUUCUACAGCUGAACGUGGGUGAGUGCUCCCCAUACGGCGCUUUGUGCACUAAUCGUAGUUACGAACAUAGGUAGCGCGGCCUUUUCCAUCUACGCGGGGUGCAUAGCGUGGGUCGUGCUGCUGUCUUGUCUGUAGUUAUUUUAUUUUGGUGUAGCCUAAUUGUGUGCGGUUUUUCAAGUACGUUUUGUGUUUUUUUCUUUUUUGUGGGCAUUAAUUUAGUGUCUACGUCUGCCUGUGUUUGGGUUUAUUUGGCGUUUAUGUCAGCCUGCAUGUUGCUUGCCGCAUUAGUAGAGAGGAACGGGGCAUAAGUGGCAUAUGCUUCAUCCUGGUAACUGCUUAGGUUCUGUCUGGUGCUGGCUGUCAUUUGCGUGUGUUUGUAUUUCUUUUGUCCUGGUGUGCCUGCAUUAUCUACCAUAACGUCUGUAUUGGCUGACUGUAUUUUUGCCCCCCCCUUGUGGUGCUGUUUUAUUUGUUUGUUUGGCAGAUGUGGGGCCCUCUUUGAGGGAGGCUAGUCACCUGGUGGUGGGACCCUAUAGCUGCACAUUUGUGGUGUCAUUGUUGCUUGCGGUGGGCUGCUGUGUCACUGGUAAGUCACUUUCUUGCAGUGUGUAUGCACGUGUGAUGGCUGGAACUUAGAACACACCUCCAGUUAGUCUGUCUCCCUCAGGUAAGCCCCCAUCUGCUGUAUCUUUUUAGCUCCAGUGGAGCCUGGCCCCACUUUAGAAAUCACCUGUUCAUAUUGUAUCAUAAUAAAAGAACAAUAAUAAAUAUUUUUGUACUUUCAUAACCUCUGACUCGUUUCAGGUAUUA